rnacentral:tRNA from 1 species
GGGCGCGUAGCUCAGCGGUAGAGCACUACGUUCACACCGUAGGGGUCGCAAGUUCGAACCUUGCCGCGCCCACCA